UAAAGUGGGUGGUGGAGUGACGAUGGGAUGUAGGGAGAAAAGUGAGACGUAGGAGAAAGCAAAUCAACUUUCGAGAACGAGGUGUGCCUCUUGUGCUGUGUCUCUUGUUUAUAAAGGAUCCAUGUGCUGUCUCGUGGCGGCAGGAAUCAGUGUGUAAUUAAGCUAAUCUAUGAAGAAAACCCCUCCAGAAAACUAUUGUAGAAGGAGCGUGCAAUGGUGAACAAGAGCUACGGAAGAUGAUGGAGCGUCAAAUUAAGAUUAAGACGCGCCGCCUGUUUGUUUAUCGGAUUAGUCUAGGCGGCGAAAAACACGGGAAGAAAGCCGCUUAAGAUGGAUCGGUGGCAGUGGAGACACGUCUGCAGCGCGCGCGUCAUUGAGACCUGAAGGA